AGAGUUUGAUCCUGGCUCAGAAUCAACGCUGGCGGCGUGCCUCAGACAUGCAAGUCGAACGCGAAAGUUCCCUUCGGGGAGCGAGUAGAGUGGCGCACGGGUGAGUAACACGUAGGUAAUCUACCUUUGGAUGGGGAAUAACAACCGGAAACGGUUGCUAAUACCGCAUAAUGCAGCGGCACCUAAUGGUGACAGUUGUUAAAGCGGGGGAUCGAAAGACCUCGCGUCUAAAGAGGAGCCUGCGGCAGAUUAGCUAGUUGGUAAGGUAACGGCUUACCAAGGCGAUGAUCUGUAACCGGCCUGAGAGGGCGGUCGGUCACACUGACACUGACAUACGGGUCAGACUCCUACGGGAGGCAGCAGUCGGGAAUUUUGGGCAAUGGGCGAAAGCCUGACCCAGCAACGCCGCGUGAAGGAUGAAAUCCCUCGGGAUGUAAACUUCGCAAGAACAGGAAGAAUAAGUAAGAGUUAAUAUCUCUUAUGAUGACGGUACUGUUUGUAAGCUCCGGCUAACUCCGUGCCAGCCGCCGCGGUAAUAC
rnacentral:rRNA from 1 species